GGGGAAUCUUGCACAAUGGGGGAAACCCUGAUGCAGCGACGCCGCGUGAGCGAUGAAGCCCUUCGGGGUGUAAAGCUCUUUCGGCAGGGAAGACUUUGACGGUACCUGCAGAAGCAGCUGCGGCUAACUACGUGCCAGCAGCCGCGGUAAUACGUAGGCAGCAAGCGUUGUUCGGAGUUACUGGGCGUAAAGGGUGCGUAGGCGGUUCUCUAAGUUUGGUGUGAAAUCUCCCGGCUCAACUGGGAGGGUGCGCCGAAAACUGGAAAGCUAGAGUGUGGGAGAGGUGAGUGGAAUUCCUGGUGUAGCGGUGAAAUGCGUAGAUAUCAGGAGGAACACCGGUGGUGUAGACGGCUCACUGGACCAUUACUGACGCUGAGGCACGAAAGCGUGGGUAGCAAAC
rnacentral:rRNA from 1 species